rnacentral:rRNA from 1 species
UACGAAGGUCCCAAGCGUUAUCCGGAUUUAUUGGGUUUAAAGGGUGCGUAGGCGGGCUAUUAAGUCAGUGGUGAAAUCCUGCAGCCUAACUGUAGAAUUGCCAUUGAUACUGAUGGUCUUGAGUACAUUUGAAGUGGGCGGAAUGUGUCAUGUAGCGGUGAAAUGCGUAGAUAUCGUAAGGAAGACCAGUGGCGAAGGCGGGUCUCUGGACAGUUCCUGACGCUGAGGCACGAAGGCCAGGGGAGCAAACGGG